GUAAACAUUAAAGGGUUAGGCUUCUUACACAAUAUUGACUCAUACAUUAUAAAGGGCAAAAAAGGAUGUUAAAUGGGUCCUCAAGGGUGCUUUUUCAGGUUCAUAGUAUAGAGGCCUUGUCAAACUAUAUAUAUACCACUAGGGUCAGAAAACUACCCAUGGGAAGGUCCUCGUAACCAUAAAAAUUCAGUAUUCUUUCGACUCAGACUUUAUAAAGGGCAAAAAAAGAUGUUAAAUGGGUCCUCAAGGGUGCUUUUUCAGGUUCAUUGUAUAGAGGCCUUGUCAAACUAUCACUAGGGUCAGAAAACUACCCAUGGGAAGGUCCUCGUAACCAUAAAAAGUCGGUAUUCUUUCGACUCAGACUUUAUAAAGGGCAAAAAAAGAUGUUAAAUGGGUCCUCAUGGGUGCUUUUUCAGGUUCAUAGUAUAUAGGCCUUGUCAAACUAUCACUAGGGUCAGAAAACUACCCAUGGGAAGGUCCUCGCAACCAUUUUUUUUUAAAAGUCGGUAUUCUUUCGACUCAGACUUUAUAAAGGGCAAAAAAAGAUGUUAAAUGGGUCCUCAAGGGUGCUUUUUCAGGUUCAUAGUAUAGAGGCCUUGUCAAACUAUCACUAGGGUCAGAAAACUACCCAUGGAAAAGCCCUAAGUAACCAUAAAAAAUAAAAAAAGUCUGUAUUAUUUCAUACUUUCGUCUCCCACAUCACUCAUUUCUAGAGGCCAAAAAAGGUGUUAAAUGCGUUCCCAUGGGUGCUUUUUCAUUUUCAUAGUAUAGAGGCCUUGUCAAACUAUCACUAAGGUCAGGAAACUACCCAUGGAAAAGCCCUUAAGUAACCAUAAAAAUUGAAAAGUCGGUAUCCUUUCACACUUUCGUCUCCUUCACUCAUUUCUAAAGUCCAAAAAAAGGUGUUAAAUGCGUUCCCAUGGGUGUUUUUCUCAGGUUCACAGUAUAGAUCGAAGGCUUGUCAAUUAAACUACCAUGCACCAGGGUCAGAAAACUACCCAUGGGAAAGCCUACAACCCCUAUGAAAGCCUUGUCAAAUAUGUACUUGUGUUUGGGAAACGAAAUAUUUGACUCAAAGUAUAUGUCUACCGGUAGCAAAGGUUAUCAAUAAUUAUAUCUAUUUUAAACUUCCCAUUAAAGUUUAAGAGGCUUACUAUAUAAGUUCAAAAUGGAAUAAAAAAACGAUCAGGGUCUUGCUGAAUGUGUUAGCCUCAUUAACCGAUCAUUUUAUUAAUUUAUCCCAUUCUUCCCAAACCUAACCUAAUUUCCUCUCCCCUAUCAUAUCUCUCUCCCCUCAACGGAACCAUAGAUUAUCAGUUUACAUAAGUAGCCGUUAAAAACCUUAUCAUGGCAGCGUUAAAACUAUCACCCUCAUUUUCCUCUCUUAUCUCUUGCGCCCUCACAUUCUCCACCGUCUAGGAAUUCUCCGUUGUCAUGGUUACUCUCAAGGCGCCGCUGAUGAUGUAACCCUUUUCUUAUAGAUCACUUUGACCUUGACGACGGGUCCAGAGGUGAAGCGUGAUGUGUAUAAAGGGUAUGAGGUUGUAAGAGAGGUGCCCAGGGACGAUGUUAGGCUAGGGUAUGAGGUUGUAAGAGAGGUGCCCAGGGACGAUGUUAGGCUAGGGUAUAUGAGAUGUAUGCGAGGUGCCCAGGGACGAUGUUAGGCUAGGGUAUGAGUGUAAGAGAGGUGCCCAGGGACGAUGUUAGGCUAGGGUAUAUGAGAUGUAUGCGAGGUGCCCAGGGACGAUGUUAGGCUAGGGUAUGAGGUUGUAAGAGAGGUGCCCAGGGACGAUGUUAGGCUAGGGUGUGAGGUUGUAAAAGAGGUGCCCAGGGACGAUGUUAGGCUAGGGUAUGAGAUGUAAGCGAGGUACCCAGGGACGAUGUUAGGCUAGGGUGUGAAAUGUAAGCGAGGUACCCAGGGACGAUGUUAGGCUAGGGUAUGAGGUUGUAAGAGAGGUACCCAGGGACGAUGUUAGGCUAGGGUAUGAGGUUGUAAGAGAGGUACCCAGGGACGAUGUUAGGCUAGGGUAUGAGGUUGUAAGAGAGGUACCCAGGGACGAUGUUAGGCUAGCUAGGGUAUGAGAUGUAAGCGAGGUGUCCAGGGACGAUGUUAGGCUAAAUCAACGUAAUAUAUAUACAAAGAUUCAUGAUUUCGUGUAGGCCUAUGAGGAUUCAAGCUGUUUACUGCAAAUCGCAUCAUAUAUUGGUUGGGGGUAGGAAUGUUAGACUAAAUUUAACCAAUCUAACGUAGCACAUAAUAUGAUUUCGUGUAUAGAGAUUUUGUUUAAGGUAUAUAUGCUAUAGAAGCUUGUAUAAUCUCAAAAUACGUGAUCGGUACUAUGGCGAAGAGCCCGAGGAAUAUAUUAUACUGAAUUCAAUCAAUUUAACGUAUUAUAUAACAUGACUUCGUACAUAAGGGUAUUGUUGAAGGGUUGAGAAGCUUAAUUUUGUAAUGUCAAAAGUCAUAUACGUACGUACGGUACUACACUGGUUAUUGGCGAAGUGCCCAAGAACUAUAUUAGACAAAUUCAAUCAACCUAGCAACAUGAUUUCGUACACAAGGGUAUUUAAUAAGUCCAAAGCAGAGUAGAAAAAGGCCAUUUAAACCUGCUAUUAGCCUCAUUUAUCAUAUUCAGCUGCUACAGGACUUGCUAACCAGUGUCACAGCAUAAUCCCCUGAGAAUGUUACAUGUCUUAUUAAAUAUAUUGUUCGUAAGGCGCCAAUUACAGUCAGUCCUUCACUAACCCUAUCUUCACUAUAACCACAAACUCAAACCCCUCCCCACUAAUUUAACCCAGCACUAACUUAACCCCCACUAACACAACCCUCCACUAACUCGAUCAACCCCCACUAACACAACCUUCAGUAACUUAACUAACCCCACAAAUUCAUUCCCCACCAACUCAACCCAAGUAAAGCGGGGCCGAUAUAUCACAAACAUUCAAUUCUUAUCACGCAUCGCAACUUAACCCUCACUAAUUAACUUAACCCCCACUAACACAACCCUCCACUAACUCGAUCAACCCCCACCAACGCAACCUUCAGUAACUUAACCAACCCCACAAAUUCAUUCCCCACCAACUCAACCCAAGUAAAGCGGGGCCGAUAUAUC